rnacentral:rRNA from 1 species
UACAGAGGUCUCAAGCGUUGUUCGGAUUCAUUGGGCGUAAAGGGUGCGUAGGUGGCCUGGUAAGUCAGGGGUGAAAGACGGUAGCUUAACUAUCGCAGUGCCUUUGAUACUGCCGGGCUUGAAUGAACUAGAGGUAGGCGGAAUGUGACAAGUAGCGGUGAAAUGCAUAGAUAUGUCACAGAACACCGAUUGCGAAGGCAGCUUACUAUGGUUUUAUUGACACUGAGGCACGAAAGCGUGGGGAUCAAACAGG